GAUAAACGCUGGCGGCGCACAUAAGACAUGCAAGUCGAACGGAAGUCGUUAUAAUGAUUUCAAUAUGGAUUUGAAGAUUUAUCUGAUAUGAAGUUGAGAAUGAUUUAUAACAAUGGCUUUAGUGGCGGACUGGUGAGUAACGCGUAAGCAAUCUGCCUAUUAGAGGGGAAUAACAGUGAGAAAUCAUUGCUAAUACCGCAUAUGCCAUAAUCAUCGCAUGAUGAUAGUGGGAAAGGAGCAAUCCGCUAAUAGAUGAGCUUGCGUCUGAUUAGCUAGUUGGUGGGGUAACGGCCUACCAAGGCGACGAUCAGUAGCCGGACUGAGAGGUUGAACGGCCACAUUGGGACUGAGAUACGGCCCAGACUCC
rnacentral:rRNA from 1 species